rnacentral:rRNA from 1 species
AGGACGAACGCUGGCGGCGUGCCUAACACAUGCAAGUCGAGCGGGGACAUACGACGGACGUGAAGUUUUCGGAUGGAGCGGAAGAUGUAUGUUCUAGCGGCGGACGGGUGAGUAACGCGUGAGCAACCUGUCCCUUACAGGGGGAUAACACAGCGAAAGUUGUACUAAUACCGCAUGAGACCACGGUAAGACAUCCUACAGGGGUCAAAGGAGUAAUCCGGUAAGGGGUGGGCUCGCGUCCGAUUAGAUAGUUGGUGAGGUAACGGCCCACCAAGUCAACGAUCGGUAGCCGACCUGAGAGGGUGAUCGGCCACAUUGGGACUGAGACACGGCCCAAACUCCUAUGGGAGGCAGCAGGUGGGGAAUAUUGGCAAUGGGGGAACCCUGACCCAGCAACGCCGCGUGAGGGAAGAAGGUUUUCGGAUCGUAAACCUCUGUCCUUGGUGAAGAGUAAGAGACGGUAGCCAAGGAGGAAGCCCCGGCUAACUACGUGCCAGCAGCUGC